UACGGACAUAUCACGUUGAAAAAUCGGUUCCCGUACGUUCACUGUAGUUAAGCAACGUCGAUCCUGGUUAGUACUUAUAUGGGUGACCGCUGGGGAAUACCAGGUUCUGUAAG